UACGUAGGGUGCGAGCGUUGCCCGGAUUUAUUGGGCGUAAAGGGCGCGUAGGCGGUCUUGCAAGUCCUGUGUGAAAUCCCUCGGCUCAACUGAGGAACUGCACAGGAAACUGCUUGGCUUGAGUUCGGGAGAGGGAAGCGGAAUUCCGGGUGUAGCGGUGAAAUGCGUAGAUAUCCGGAGGAACACCGGUGGCGAAGGCGGCUUCCUGGACCGACACUGACGCUGAGGCGCGAAAGCUAGGGGAGCAAACGGG
rnacentral:rRNA from 1 species